rnacentral:rRNA from 1 species
GACAGAGGGUGCAAACGUUGCUCGGAAUUACUGGGCGUAAAGCGCGUGUAGGUGGAUUGGUGUGUCAGAUGUGAAAUCCCUGGGCUCAACCCAGGAACUGCACCUGAAACUACCAGUCUUGAGUGGGGGAGAGGGAAGUGGAAUUCCUGGUGUAGAGGUGAAAUUCGUAGAUAUCAGGAGGAACACCAGUGGCGAAGGCGGCUUCCUGGACACCAACUGACGCUGAGACGCGAAAGCGUGGGGAGCAAACAGG